rnacentral:ncRNA from 1 species
CCAAAGGCUCUUUUAAGAGCCACCCACUUUCUCACACGGAAAGAG